GGAGAACAGGCAACAGGUACAACUUAUUCUAAUGGACACAAGACUAAGGAAACUCCAACAAACACUGAAAGCAAGAAACAGACAGCAAGUCCACUCCAGCCUGGUGGGCUUGCAGGCAGCAGAGAAGUGGUGGCACUGGAGAAGCAGCGGUACUACUCAGAUGAGGACGGCUCGAGAGAUAAAGCUCAUCUGCUGGUGCUGUGGGAGGAAAGGACACUGGGCACGCUACUGCCCAGAAGCAACAGCAACAGCAGACGAGCAGGGGAUGACGGAACGAGGGAGGUGACACCCCAUCCUUCUGAGGAGCAUUGGAUCUGUGCAGCGAACCUGGUCGCUGCCCCUGCCGACCUGACUGCUCCCCGUCUCAGACGGCAUCAGCGAGCGGGGAAGGCUGGAGCUCCCAGAGGCUCUGCCUGCUCACUAGCCAACAAGGACUGUCUGCUCGCCAGCCACGAGGAGCUGCGGCAUGACCCCAGCUGUCAGCUUAACCAACUGAGGCUACCCUCCUCUUGUCCCAGAGUUGAUGUGGGGACUGGGUGUGGUGGUUGCCGAGAUGCUCGACCUUUGAGGGAGAGGGCAGUAUAGCGCCAGUGGGAUGACUUCCGCAUUACUAGUUAUUGUGUAAAUUACCCACCAUAUGUGUACCUAACUGUUGGCCGUCCAACCUCUCUGCUCUUCCCUAGUAUGUUUGGCUUCAGUGCUUGUUGAGUGUCCUGUUAAGGACUUAAUAAAAGUGAGUGUUCUCCCCUC